rnacentral:lncRNA from 1 species
UUCCAGUCAAUAUCUUGCAAUACAACUUAAAAAUUAGAAUAUUCUUUGGAGCUCAUGAAAGUUAUUAGUUUGAUUUCCUUAUUAAUGAAUAACUCUACUGUAAAUACCACCAAAGGACAGAAUUCAGUUUUCUUGAUACAGCCUAAAUUUGUUAGUCAGUCAAUGAUAGUAAUAAUGACAAUGAUCAUCAUAGCUAGCAUUUAUAUAGUGCUUUAAAGGGAGAGUGUUGGGAUGACUAGAAAAGGACCCCAGUAGAAGGUGAGAUUUGAGGUGAUUCUCAAAGAAGUCAAGGAAGCCAAGAAGGCAGAACUAGAGGCUAAUGAGGUGGCACAUUGAGUUUUGGCUGAAGCAGAGGAAUGGAAUCCUGGGAAUAUGAAUUUUGUUGCUCAUUUAUAAGAAGAAUGACAAACCAAGUGAGCUCAGGAAUUCGUGAUUAUGAAUCAUGGAGAUCACACUGUAUGAGAGAUCAGAAGCCUUGGGGUUCAUUUACAUUUCUGCUGCUAAUGAACUUCAAGAUUUGGGGUGCUACAAGUCUGAAUGUACAAAUUGCUGACCCUGGUCACCUGCCUACCCAGACAAGUAAAAUCUUACAGUGGCAGCACAAAAGAGGAAAUGAUUGGAAGGAAGAGAGUAAAGAAGGAAUCCUGGAUAAUGAAGAUGGAGAGGACCGAGUAUCAAAUCUAUAUCCUUGGGUCAGUGCAGCUGGUAUAAUUACAAUCACACUGCAGUUCCCCAUUACAUUGAAAGGAUUAGGACUUUUUCAGUUUUUCAGUAUUUCUAAGAUGCUCUGCAUUCUCUGAAUGUCUAGUAAGAAUCGACUUUAUUUGUACCUCUUGGAUUUUGACAGGUAAUUUCUGUCUGAGUCGAAAGAGACUUCUAUCACUUUUGCCAUUCUUGGCCAUAACUGAUAUCAAACUAAGUGGAUAACAGUGACCUUGGGAGUCAGUGGACAUUUGGGAAUAGAAAAGGAGAAAAUGAGCCCUGUAUUUGUUACCCUGAAAGCAGGAGGUAGUGGGUGGUAGUUUUCAUUUCUUUAAGUGAGUUAAAACAUAGAUAAAAACAAUGCUUCGGGUUCCUGUUGUAAAACAAGACUAGGGGCUAUAUUAUGAUCCAUUGAAAC